CAAUAUUUAAUCUAAGCGAUCUCCAUGGAAUUCUUCCUCUGACAAUAGAGUGGAUUUACACUCUGCAUUCCACUUCCUCUGACUAUAGCGGAGGCUUUCUUCAGUAACAUGUGGUUAAACUCAAAGGAAGCAGCCAAUGACAAAUAGCUUCCUUAGGGCUGCUCAGAUUUCAACGGGAGAGAAGGGAUGAUUGUAGAGGCAUGCACGGCUUCAGAGGAGCCUACAGAAACAGGGUUGCAGGGAACAUUUGGCUGUGAGAUUUAUAGCUGUCUCUGCAUGCUGGUGUCAAGUGGAAGAUCAUGGAAGACCUUAGGGCAUAGGGUGGAGCGUCAUCCCUAAUAAAAAAUGUCAAAACCUUUUCAAAAUGCAAUAGUGGUUGUGGUUAGUAGAAAUUGUGUUGCUUCCCAGGGAUGCACGAGAUUUACUUACUUAUGGAGGCCAUGGAUGAGUUACUUUGCUCUCCUAAAACAGAGCUUCAAAGGUCCUCCUCCACGAUUCAUGAUUGCAAAUCUUGUUGAAAUUGCAAACUUGUUGCAGCGGUCGAUGCUUACAGAUAUGCCUUCGAUAAACCAUGACAUUGGAAACAAAAUUUCAGCUUAUAUACCGAGUGGUCACAGAUUUAUGGUCUCUUUCUCACAAAUGUCUAUUAUGUUUUUUAAUGUAUGUUCUAAUUUCUGGAUUAACGGUUGUGCAAGAGAGAUAUUUUUUAUAUUGGUUUGGUUAUGAGCCUGGCCGAGCUAAUCAGGGAACUACUUUAUUCAGAUCAUUCUUUUGACUGUGGAAGGUCUCCAAUAACUAAGAAGAUGAUGUGGUCAUGGGCCUCUGUUUACAUCAUGUUCAAUUGAUAAAGGAAUGGAAUGAGAUUAUGGAGGAAGCUACAGAGAGGCCUUGUGAAUUAAGCUAACUGUUUUCAUUGACAGGCUUACAACAGAAUUCCAAUGAGGGUUGGAUUUGCAAUGGAUUACAACAAAGAUGGAAAGGAAAUAUGACAAGACAUUAGGGGUUUAGAGGAGAUAAUGAACCACAAUAUUUGAUAUCUAUGGCUGCCAGGUUCCAAGUAUCACAUGAUUAACUAUUAGAUUAUUUUUCAAAAGAGCAAUUUGAGAUUUGAUUUGUUUUUAACAUGGUAAAAACUCAUGACUCAUUCGUAU